rnacentral:rRNA from 1 species
UGAGGUGCUUGCACUUUGAUGACGAGUGGCGCACGGGUGCGUAACGCGUAUAGAACCUACCCUGUACAGGGGGAUAGCCCAGAGAAAUUUGGAUUAAUACCCCGUGGUAACUAUAAAUGGCAUCAUUUAUAGUUUAAAGUUUUCGGACGGUACAGGAUGGCUAUGCGUCCUAUUAGUUAGAUGGUGAGGUAACGGCUCACCAUGGCAUCGAUAGGUAGGGGCCCUGAGAGGGGGAUCCCCCACACUGGUACUGAGACACGGACCAGACUCCUACGGGAGGCAGCAGUGAGGAAUAUUGGACAAUGGGCGUAAGCCUGAUCCAGCCAUGCCGCGUGCAGGAAGACGGCCCUAUGGGUUGUAAACUGCUUUUAUACGGGAAGAAUAAGGGACACGAGUGUCCUGGUGACGGCACCGUAAGAAUAAGGACCGGCUAACUCCGUGCCAGCAGCCGCGGUAAUACGGAGGGU